rnacentral:rRNA from 1 species
UAGGGAAUCUUCGGCAAUGGGGGGAACCCUGACCGAGCAACGCCGCGUGAGUGAAGAAGGUUUUCGGAUCGUAAAGCUCUGUUGUUAAGGAAGAACGAGUGUGAGAAUGGAAAGUUCAUGCUGUGACGGUACUUAACCAGAAAGGGACGGCUAACUACGUGCCAGCAGCCGCGGUAAUACGUAGGUCCCGAGCGUUGUCCGGAUUUAUUGGGCGUAAAGCGAGCGCAGGCGGUUAGAAAAGUCUGAAGUGAAAGGCAGUGGCUCAACCAUUGUAGGCUUUGGAAACUGUUUAACUUGAGUGCAGAAGGGGAGAGUGGAAUUCCAUGUGUAGCGGUGAAAUGCGUGGGUAUAUGGGGGAACACCGGUGGCGAAAGCGGCUCUCUGGUCUGUAACUGACGCUGAGGCUCGAAAGCGUGGGGAGCGAACAGG